rnacentral:rRNA from 1 species
AUUGAACGCUGGCGGCAGGCCUAACACAUGCAAGUCGAGCGGCAGCACGGAGCUUGCCCCUGGAUUCAGCGGCGGACGGGUGAGUAAUGCAUCGGAACAUGCCUGGUCGUGGGGGAUAACGUCCGGAAACGGGUGCUAAUACCGCAUACGUCCUGAGGGAGAAAGCGGGGGAUCUCAGGACCUCACGCUAUCAGAUGAGCCUAUGUCGGAUUAGCUAGUUGGUGGGGUAAAGGCCUACCAAGGCGACGAUCCGUAACUGGUCUGAGAGGAUGAUCAGCCACACUGGAACUGAGACACGGUCCAGACUCCUACGGGAGGCAGCAGUGGGGAAUAUUGGACAAUGGGCGAAAGCCUGAUCCAGCCAUGCCGCGUGUGUGAAGAAGGUCUUCGGGUUGUAAAGCACUUUAAGUAGGAAGGAAGGGCAGUAAGUUAAUACCGCGCGGUAUUGACGGUACCAACAGAAGAAGCACCGGCUAACUUCGUG